rnacentral:rRNA from 1 species
AUGCAUGCACGGCGAGAAAAGCUCAGGAGGGACGCGUGCAUGCAUAUCAGCUGUAGACGACAACGAUUCCAUCAACUGUAUCAUGCCCGUGACGCGUAUCGUUUGGCCGCACCCACCGCUGGCUAUUCUUCCAACCUUAUCUUCUCACCCCCCUCCUUAAUCAUCCCCUCUCUCUCCCCAAUGCCUUCUUCUCACUCCCUCUCUGUCCAGCGAGGGACCAUGCGCAACACUCCCACUCCUCAAUGGUCGAGGCCGCAUCAACGCCUCCCCCCGCAACCCAAAUCUUCCGAGCCUCCCGAGCUCCUCCUCCUUCCACCUCUGCAAACCUCUAUUCUUCAGGAUCACCCAAUCGAAGCAGCUCCAGAGCUCCUCCACAUAAGCUGCAGCGCCGAGAGCCCGAGCGCGCCCGAGACCAGCAGCUCUGACCCCGCGCCGCCCUGUUCCGUCCAUCUUCCUCUUUCUCGCUUACUCUCUUCCUCAAGAGAUGGUAUUUUCGAUCCCCAAUCCCCGCCGGUCUUCCACGUCCGCCGCGUCAACUUCCUCAAGUCGCCACAUGCUCCCCCUGUUGAGCCACAUCGCCGCCUCCGGCGGUACCCCUGGCCUAAGCGGCGCUGCCCCCGGCCUCCUUCCUCCUCUACUGGCGCCGCCUGCUCGCCUUUGUGCCGCCGACCUUCUCCUCCGACCUCCUGCAGUCCUGCUAUGCCCGAGCUCCGCCCCUUUCCGAUCCCGCCGUGGCCUCGAGCUUGCUCUGUCGCCCUCCUCUUGCACGGUCACGCAUUGCUGCGCUCGUUCUUUGGUACACCACCACCGACCACCCUGGCCACGAGUAGUUCCGUCCCUUUGCUGCGCCCGUUCUCUGCUUGCCGGAUGGCCAUAGCGCCAAGGUUGCUGCCUACUUCGGCCUCCCUUCCUGCGUCCGCCGCCGGGCCCCUUGCUGCCUCCUCCAACAGCCGCUGCUAUGAAGCCUUCACCUCGUGCGCCCGGUCGCUGCGGCCCAUGGCCGCCUCUGUGUCUGUACGCGACCGGCGAGCUCUACCCCUUCACGACCUCGAUCGUCCCCGACCUCGUCUACUCCUCUCAUCACCGGAUUUCACGCGCCGCCACCGGAUCCAUCUCCAUUUGACCGGAACUGUCUAG